AUAUUAAUAAGCGGAGGAAAAGAAACUAACCAGGAUUCCCCUAGUAACGGCGAGUGAAGCGGGAUGAGCUCAAGCUUAAAAUCUCUGUGCCAGUUUGGCAUGGCGAAUUGUAGUCUAUAGAGGCGUUGUCAGUGCAGCUGUGCGGGGUAAGUUCCUUGGAAGAGGACAGCAUCGAGGGUGAUACUCCCGUUUGUACCUGUGCGGCUUGCGCGUACGACACGUUUUCUUCGAGUCGCGUUGUUUGGGACUGCAGCGCAAAGUAGGUGGUAAAUUUCAUCUAAAGCUAAAUAUUGGCCAGAGACCGAUAGCGCACAAGUAGAGUGAUCGAAAGAUGAAAAGCACUUUGAAAAGAGAGUUAAACAGUAUGUGAAAUUGUUGAAAGGGAAGCGCUUGCAACCAGACUUGUGUUUAAUGGUUCUCUCAAUCUUUUGAUUGGGCUAUUCCAUUAUAUCCAGGCCAGCAUCGGUUCAGGUGGUUAGUUAAAGACUUUAGGAAUGUAUCUACCUUCGGGUCGACUUAUAGCUUAGAGUGUAAUGUGACCUACUUGGACCGAGGAACGCGCAUUUUUGCUCGGAUGCUGGCGUAAUGGUUGUAAGCGG
rnacentral:rRNA from 1 species